rnacentral:rRNA from 1 species
UAGGGAAUCUUCCGCAAUGGGCGAAAGCCUGACGGAGCAACGCCGCGUGAGUGAUGAAGGUCUUCGGAUCGUAAAACUCUGUUAUUAGGGAAGAACAAAUGUGUAAGUAACUAUGCACGUCUUGACGGUACCUAAUCAGAAAGCCACGGCUAACUACGUGCCAGCAGCCGCGGUAAUACGUAGGUGGCAAGCGUUAUCCGGAAUUAUUGGGCGUAAAGCGCGCGUAGGCGGUUUUUUAAGUCUGAUGUGAAAGCCCACGGCUCAACCGUGGAGGGUCAUUGGAAACUGGAACACUUGAGUGCAGAAGAGGAGAGUGGAAUUCCAUGUGUAGCAGUGAAAUGCGCAGAUAUAUGGAGGAACACCAGUGGCGAAGGCGACUUUCUGGUGUGUAACUGACGCUGAUGUGCGAAAGCGUGGGGAUCAAACAGG